GUGUAACUAUAAAAUUCAAGAAUUGAUUAAAUUAAAAUCACAUAAUAGACAUUACAAAGUUCAUUAUAUAUUUUCAUUAAAAAUAGUGUCUUUUCAAAUUGCAUUAAUUGCAAAUUUUAUUUGAAACUAAUAACAGAAGCUAUGCAUAUUGCUUCAUUUCGCCUGUGUAAAUCUAAAGUCAAAAGAGUACAAUUAUUAUUGUUUAUUAAAAUUACAAUCUAAAUAUUCUUUUCAAAAACUGUAUAUUCAUCCUUACAAUUAAUGAAGUUUAUGAAACAUAUAAAUUUAUAUGGUAAACUUAUAGAAAUGUUACGUUCUUUCCGAUUUUGAUGAUUUUAAAAUAUGUUAUAGAAAGCGACAUUUUGAAUAAUUUUUUCAUAUAACCGAUGGUAAACCUUAGUUUCGGAGAUAUUUGCAAAGAACUGUCGCUAUUAGUACAGAGGAUUCUAUAUAGAAUCGUGUGACCAAAUAAAAUGACUUGAUCGAAAUUAUUCGUUUAUAUAUACAAACGAAGAUGGGGCGAGCUUGGGUAUCCGAAAUGAAGGUUCGUACACAACGUACAUAUACGCGGCUAUAAGAAAUAUAUGUUAUAAUUCAAUAAAAAAUGAAUAUCAUCAAUGUAUUGAGUUUGUAUUGUUCAGGCUAAUAUUUUCAAUCCGACCACCGCCAGGCGGUUGGCAACGCUUACGUAAACUGAUAAGAAUUAUUAUUAUUGGUAAAAUAAUGUCAAUUAUUUAUUCGCCUUCUAUUUUUAUGAUUAAUUUUUUAUUAUUUUAUGCAAGUGUAACCAGCCGCCUCGCGGCAACCAGAUUGAAAAAUCUAACCCGAUGCAUUGGAUUAUAUCCUCUUCUAAUCUUCUAAAUCUCGUUAUAUGAUAUAACAGACAUUUCUUACAGUCUCGCUUAUGCACUUGCGCACGCAGCCUUCAGUUCACACAACCCUCGUCUAUAAACGGAAGGUAAGCGGCCGGGAGCCGGCAGCUAAUAUUGACGCAUACGUUGUCACAGACGCACAACUAUGGGCAGAAAUACACUAUAGUAACAUUGGUAGUCUUUUGUGAAUAUCUCAAAGCUAAGUCCAACCGCCGACUACAUACAAGGUGUUCGGCUACAGUUAUUGACAAUUAAAAAUCGACCAAAAUAUUCCUGCACGCCUUACACGAGCUGGCUACUCAUUAAAAUCCAUAACAGCAUAUCGACAAUCGCGACAUGGAAUAUUUGAGUAGAAGGAAUUACUGUUUAUAUAGCGAAUACAGAUAUAAACUUACAAAAAUAGCUUGCAAAGCCCAUGAAUUGUCGCACCUGUUUCACGUUGCAGAGGACCGCGCCUUCCCUGCUCCAGGUCUAAUACUCUCAGUCGAUAUCUCCCUCCCCAAAUAUUCGAUGUAGUUUUAAAAAAAAACAUAUUUUUUCAAAUUUAGUAAGAACCCCACUAUAUCGAAUGCAUGCAAAACCUGCUUUAAAUGCUCGAAUUUUUCCUCUAUUGUUUCUAACGAGAUUAGUAUAUCGUCUAAAUAUACUAAAGCUAUCUUACUUUUUAGAUUUCCUAAGGCGGUGUUGAUCGCUCGUUGAAAUACAGCCAGUGUGUUAGCGAGACCGUAGGCCAUGCACAAGAAUUCAUAGUAGCCGUCGGACGUUACAAAUACGAUCUCUGUCCGGAGAAUCUAACUAGUAUCGGGGAAGAAUCGACAUAAAUUCCUUUUAUGUAGUGAUCAAAUUCAUUUCUUUAAUCGGCAACUUAUCUAUUUUCAGCGGGCUCACGCGUUUUUGUUACUUACUGUCGGUCGGCGAACUCGUGCCUAAGCAGUUUUUGCACUAUCUCAGUUUUGCACGGUUUAAGCUUGAGCACACAAACGCACUCAUACAGAUGUAUAUAACAUCUGUUUUCGCCAAUCGGCCAAAUAUCGUCAAGCAGUUUUAGAGCAAUAAGUGCAAGACGAGACGAUUAAAUUGAAUAGCUGAGACUAUCCUGACGAGAAAAAGACAAGGAAAGUCCCUUAUUAACAAUUAUUGACACUCUAUUAAACACUCCGGACAUAAUAAUAAUCGCGAUAGGCACGGAAGCUAUAAUAGCUGAAUCUGGAAGGCGAUGUAGCGGUAAAAUAAUUAUAAUUAGCGAUGGACAAAGACGAUAAGCGCGUGUUGCUUGCUCGACGACUCGAAAGAGAAGAAGGAAAAGAAAGAGAAAAAAAAAGAAGAUCGAAGGAAGGAUCGUCUGAUAAUUGCAAUGAUCAACAGCGGCUACGUUGUUACACUCGCUCAGUGCCAUAUCCAGUCGCUACGCACUCGAGACCACAAUCCGUGCGAUUCGAGCGCAAGUCGGAUUUUGUUUCAAUUCCUUAAGGCUUAUGAACCUUAAUAAAUAUAUUAGUUAUCAAAAGACAUCAAUGAAAAGGCAAUCAAUAUUGUCCCCAUCUAGAAAAAAUAGUACUUGUCUUUAAAUAGCACAAGUAAAAUAGAGAUAUAGUAAAAAAAUGUCUUAUUUGACAUUUAUAAAAUGCAUGAGAAACAUGACUCAAUACGAACAAGGAAGUAGAAAAUAUCCGAUGGCUGAACAAAAAUUUCAUUUGAAUACAUCUUUGCGAAAAUACAAUAAGUAAUCUUAAAUAAUAAUUACUGUAAUCUUACUUUAUUUAUAUAAUUCAUCAAGCUGUGAAAUAUGAUGUGCUGUGACUAUCGAGACGAAUAACUGAAGUAUUAUAUGUAUCACUUAAUAACAAAUAGUAACAAUAUUAACAAUAUCGGAAAUAUUUCUGCAAUUUUGUUUAAAAGUUAUGACCUCGUAAUAGAAAAGAAAUAUAAUAAAAAAUAUAACUUUCAAUUGAAAAACAGUUACAUAAAAUAUAAAAAAUACUACUAUUUAUAUUUUUUUCCAAACAUUUAUAAGUUUUUAAUAACUUGUAAUUUUUAUUUUUUGUAGCAAUUGCGAACUUGUUUUCGAUCUUAAUACAAUUAUUAUGUUGCAGCAAGUUCGUAGCAUGGAUUUUCUUGAUUAAACCAGUCAGGAUACUUUUUCACGAGUAUACGCUUCUACAAUUUCACCUAAAUGCAAUUUGUAUUUGGAUAGAACUUCCCUCGCCCUCCCUUCCACGAACUUUGAAAUGAUUAUGUGUUCCGCAGAAUGCUGAUUACGAAGACCUGUUAUUAAUUCAAAAUGAGGGAAUUUAUCAUAUAAUUGAACUAAACUUUUUAUAGUUAAAUGAAUUCCGAGAAAACAAGGGAGCUCCUUGGUAUGACCUUUUAUAUUCAGAACACACUUACAGGUCUCACAAAUACGUAAGUAAAAAUAUAAUUUUAAAAAGUCAAAAAUAAAAAGUUUCACUUUUAAAUUAGUACCUAGAUACAUUGUCUCAGCGAUAUCUGAUACUGGAUCAUGUUACAGCACUCGACCACGGCGGUCCAUUGAGCUUCUCAGUGCGUCAGGGGAACAUAACCCCUUCGUAAUAGUAACGAUUGCACGAGUGUGCAAUUAUGCAAAGAAUCUUUUCAAACAAUUAUAUAAUGUUUCCUGAAUUUGAUAAAUGGAAACAAGAUAUAAAGAUUUUGCGUCUGGGAAUUACGGUUUGAAGUCCAGGAAUCCAUUGCAUUGGUUUAAAAAUUGUCCAUUGUUAAAGUUUGGUAUUUUUUAUUAAAUUAGUCAACUUAUUCCGCAUUAUUCUUUUUAUCUUAUACGUUGUUCGUCUUUGUUGAUACUAUGAGAGUAACUGGAUAUUGUCUUAUGAAGAUAGAAAAGCAUAACUAAUAUUGGUUGAACAACGUAUAUAAUCUUUAUUCAAAAUGUUAUUUGACAAAUUCAAUCAUAUAUCGAUAAUAAAGCGAGAUCCCGUUAUUCUCAAUACAAUAUGUGUUUAAGUAAAUAAUAAAAUUUACCGUUUAAAUGGCUAUCACGUUAAAGUAAGCUAUGCAGAAGGCCAAAGGUACCAAACUUUAAAAACUAAUGGAUUUCUAGAUUAAAAAUUUCUACAUGUCGUUUUUAUUCUUCUCUAUUCAUAUGAGUACUAUCAGGAAAUACCACAAAAGUAUUUAUAACAUUUUA